rnacentral:rRNA from 1 species
UUUAAAGUGGUACGCGAGCUGGGUUUAGAACGUCGUGAGACAGUUCGGUCCCUAUCUGCCGUGGGCGCUGGAGAAUUGAGGGGGGCUGCUCCUAGUACGAGAGGACCGGAGUGGACGCAUCACUGGUGUUCGGGUUGUCAUGCCAAUGGCACUGCCCGGUAGCUAAAUGCGGAAGAGAUAAGUGCUGAAAGCAUCUAAGCACGAAACUUGCCCCGAGAUGAGUUCUCCCUGAGACUAUAAGUCUCCUGAAGGAACGUUGAAGACGACGACGUGAUAGGCCGGGUGUGUAAGCGCAGCGAUGCGUUGAGCUAACCGGUACUAAUGAACCGUGAGGCUUAACCUUACAACGCCGAAG